rnacentral:rRNA from 1 species
UACGUAGGGGGGCAAGCGUUUGUCCGGAUUUAUUGGGCGUAAAGAGCUCGUAGGCGGUCUGUCGCGUCGAUCGUGAAAACUUGGGGCUUAACCCUGAGCUUGCGGUCGAUACGGGCAUGACUGGAGUUCGGCAGGGGAGACUGGAAUUCCUGGUGUAGCGGUGAAAUGCGCAGAUAUCAGGAGGAACACCGGUGGCGAAGGCGGGUCUCUGGGCCGAUACUGACGCUGAGGAGCGAAAGCGUGGGGAGCGAACAGG